rnacentral:rRNA from 1 species
UACAGGGGGUGCAAACGUUGCUCGGAAUUAUUGGGCGUAAAGCGCGCGUAGGCGGCUACUUAAGUCGGAUGUGAAAGCCCUUGGCUCAACUGAGGAAGUGCACCCGAAACUGAGUGGCUUGAGUACGAAAGAGGGUCGCGGAAUUCCCGGUGUAGAGGUGAAAUUCGUAGAUAUCGGGAGGAACACCGGUGGCGAAGGCGGCGACCUGGGUCGAUACUGACGCUGAUGCGCGAA